rnacentral:rRNA from 1 species
CUCAUUAAAUCAGUUAUAGUUUAUUUGAUGGUCUCUUUUGUCUUUUUUUACCUACUUGGAUAACCGUGGUAAUUCUAGAGCUAAUACAUGCGCAAGGUCCCGAGCGCGGGGGGUGGGGCUUCACGGCUCCAUUCUCGCAUGCGCAGAGGGAUGUAUUUAUUAGGUUAAAAACCAGCGGUAGGCCAGCAAUGGUCUAUCACAACACUCCUGGUGAUUCAUAGUAACUCUUUCGGAUCGCAUUCAUG